rnacentral:rRNA from 1 species
AAUGAACGCUGGCGGCGUGCUUAACACAUGCAAGUCGAGCGAGGCCUUGGGGGGCAACUCCCAGAGUCGAGCGGCGGACGGGUGAGUAACACGUGGGUAACCUGCCCGGGAGUGGGGAAUACCUCGGGGAAACUCGAGCUAAUACCGCAUGACAUCUUUGGGACGAAAGUCCUGACGAUCAAAGCGGGGUCGCAAGAUCUCGCGCUACCGGAUGGGCCCGCGCCCGAUUAGCUAGNGGUGAGGUAACGGCUCACCAAGGCUUCGAUCGGUAACCGGCCUGAGAGGGCGAUCGGUCACACCGGAACUGAGACACGGUCCGGACUCCUACGGGAGGCAGCAGUGGGGAAUCUUGCGCAAUGGGCGAAAGCCUGACGCAGCAACGCCGCGUGGAGGAUGAAGGCCC